rnacentral:pre_miRNA from 1 species
AGUGCACCAGUGGGGUCCCUUGGCCUGGUCUGCGCCCUCUAGCAAUCCAGGACCUCUGGAGAGAUGUCGGAGAGCCGGUUUCAGCCUGAUCCUGCAGGCCAGGCCAAGGGACCCCACUGGUGCACA